GAGCAAGUAUCUUAGUGGUAGAGCUCAUGCUUCGUAUGCGGGAAGACCUGGGUUCGAUUCCCGGCUGCUUA
rnacentral:tRNA from 1 species